UUCUUAUCGAGAGAGGCAGAGGGACUGGCCCGAUGAUGCCCGGCAACCUGAAUAUAGAAUAUUCAACGGUGCCAAUUCCAGCAGGUAAUAAAACCUGGUAGAUGAGAG
rnacentral:ncRNA from 2 species